AAGCAUUCUCUAAUUAUUUAAAUAACACCAAGUAGUACUACUAACAGUAUAAAUAUCAAAGUUCAGAAAUUCAUUAGUAAAAAAUGGCCAGAGUUAGAACCCCUUAGCUGAGAAUUUUGUGUGCUGUUUUAAAUGGCAGACGGCAUUCUCAUUUGGUGAAGAACCUGGUCUCCUGUUUAUUUUCUAGAGAAGAAUGUAUCACAGCUUCAUGUAACUCGAGGGUAAAAUAAGAAAAGAACUACUACAAGGAUCAUAAUUGCAUAGAAACUAAUUAUGUAUAUAAUCGUUUCUCCUUUUCAUCUCAAGCUGCAUUACCUAUCCAUUUCGAUCAUGGAGUCCAUGGCUAACUUAGGAUCUUGGGUGCACAGUAGGCUCUCUAAGUAUAGUUCAUGUUCUCGGGUUCUUACAGAUUCUGCCUUCCUUAAGAAUUACACCCACAAUUAAUGACAGAUACAGUUUGUUCAGGGCAUGCUUCAUUAAUAUCUUUAAGAUGAAAAUUGGUCUGAUGACACACCGAAUCACCAAUGUCCCCUUAGACAGCUCUAAAACAUCCAUUAGCUUUUAUAUGUAUGAUAUAAUCUGUUAUUAAUAUUGUACAAUAUCUGUGCAUGGACAAGUAGAUAGUUAAUUCAAUCCACUAUGACUCCAGAAAAGGCACGCCUUUUGCAAUGGUGACUGCAUCUAUUUACUUAGACUAUAUAUUUAUACGGUGGCGUUUCCUUCAAGUUACAGGAACAAAGCAUCCCAUAUGCAAUCAGUCAGCUCCAUUCUGUUUUCACCGGCCCCUGCUGAGAUCUACACACUCACUUCUGGCUGAGAAGACACAGGUGGGUCCUUGGGACUUGGUGGUCAGUCAGCUGAGCUUAAGAGACAAGCUGCAGGCCAAUGAAAGACCGCAUCUCCUUAGAAACACAUGAAGUUGACAUCUGACCCACACACACAGACACGCACAUGCAGACACUCUCAUACUUUGCACAGAUUUUAUUGUGAGGUAAUGCAACAUUCAUGACUUAAAUAAUUUUUAAGUGACAGUUGAUUUAUCUUCCACCAUCUUACUAAGACUUUAGAGUUCUGUCCAAUAUACAUGCUCAUGCUAAAAGUGGAUUUAAGUAAGGCUUAAAUGACUCUAUAGAAAGUGCAUUCAUUUCAUAACCUGUGUUUUCCCCCCAGAAUGCACUCACAAUGGCUGAUGUAUCUAAUGUUUUCUAUUGUGGACACAGGACACCCAGACUGAGGUUCGUGGAUUUUUGAAAUUUCCAAUAAUAAGAUAUUUGUGACUUAAUUUUGAGUGGAUGAACUUGAUUUGUUGUGGUUAUAUUGUUCAGUUAGUAUGUAAUUAAAUAU
ensembl:processed_transcript